rnacentral:rRNA from 1 species
UAGGGAAUCUUCGGCAAUGGACGAAAGUCUGACCGAGCAACGCCGCGUGAGUGAAGAAGGUUUUCGGAUCGUAAAACUCUGUUGUUGGAGAAGAACAAGGGUGAGAGUAACUGUUCACCCCUUGACGGUAUCUAACCAGAAAGCCACGGCUAACUACGUGCCAG